ACCUACUACGUGAUAACUUUCAAAUUCAGAGAAACCCUGGAAUUAAAAAUGGGCAAUCCUGAGCCAAAUCCUGUUUUCAGAAAAAAGGGAUAGGUGCAGAGACUCAAUGGAAGCUGUUCUAACGAAUGGAGUUGACUGCGUUGGUCGAGGAAUCUUUCUAUCUUUCUAUUAAAACUCCAUAAAGGGUGAACCUAUAUACGUACGUAUACGUACUUAAAUAGCAAAGAUUAAUGAGAUCCGAAUCCGUUUUUAUAUGAAAAAUUGAAAAAUUAUUGUGAAUCGAUUCCAAGCGGAAGGAAGAAUCGAAUAUUCACUGAUCAAAUCAGUCACUCUAUAGUCUGAUAAAUCUUUUGAAGAACUAACUAAUUGGACGAGAAUAAAGAUAGAGUCCCCAUUCUACAUGUCAAUAUCAAUACCGACAACAAUGAAAUUUAUAGUAAGAGGAAAAUCCGUCGACUUUAGAAAUCGUGAGGGUUCAAGUCCCUCUAUCCCCAAUAAAAGAUUGGUUUUACUUCCUGAUUAUCACUAUCCUUUUUUUUUUUCAGCGGUUCAAAAUUAGCUAUGUUUAUCAUUCACUCUACUCUUUCACAAACACAAAAAAUCGGCGGAGAAAUCUCCUAUCACAAGUCUUGUGAUAUGUACGAUAUACGUACAAAUAAACAUCUAUGAGCAAGGAAUCCCUUUUUGAAACAUUCACAGCCCAUAUCAUUAUUUUUAAUUAAACUUAACUAAAAAAAAGUAUUACUUUUGAAGAUCAAAAAAAUUCCAGGGCCUGGGUAAGACUUUGUAAUGCUUUUUUAAUCUAUUUAAUUGAAUUGACAUAGGCCCAAGCCCUUUAGUAGUAUGGGAAUGAUGCAUCGGGAAGA
rnacentral:misc_RNA from 1 species